GACGAACGCUGGCGGCGUGCUUAACACAUGCAAGUCGAGCGACGCUCUUCCUUCGGGGAGAUGACGGAGCGGCGAACGGGUGAGUAACACGUGGGCAACCUGCCCCUAGCUCUGGGACAACACCGGGAAACCGGUGCUAAUACCGGAUACGACAUCGAGCGGCAUCUCUCGAUGUGGAAAGUUUUUUCGGCUAGGGAUGGGCCCGCGGCCUAUCAGCUUGUUGGUGGGGUAAUGGCCCACCAAGGCGACGACGGGUAGCCGGCCUGAGAGGGCGACCGGCCACACUGGGACUGAGACACGGCCCAGACUCCUACGGGAGGCAGCAGUGGGGAAUAUUGCGCAAUGGGCGAAAGCCUGACGCAGCGACGCCGCGUGAGGGAUGACGGCCUUCGGGUUGGAAACCUCUUUCAGCAGGGACGAAUUCAGACGGUACCUGCAGAAGAAGCACCGGCCAACUACGUG
rnacentral:rRNA from 1 species